CUAAAAAUAAUUAAUAUAUAUAAGUAUAUAAAUCUAUUUCAAAUAUAUUCAGAUACCCGAAAUACUUUAGUUCGGAUCAGAUUAGGUUUCAGUUCUCUAAAUACCAAAAAUUUGAAUAAUUCAGAUAUUUAAUUAAUUUCGAUUCGAGUUUAGUACUACUUUUUUGGAUCGGAAUCGGUUCGGUUCUUCGGAUUCGAGUUUUUUACCCAAUCCUAAAUAGUGAUACAAAAACAAAUAGUAACAUAUUUUUGAAAAAUACCGCGCGGUAGAUCUAGUUAAUAAUUAAAAUAAUUAUUUUAAAAAAAAUUAAAAUUAACCACAGAUCUGGCGGGUUAGCCGAAAAUUUCGGCGGAGCGGGUGCAGUAUUUUUACUAGGUAGAUUAUGUAGAUCAGAUUUUUGAAUCAAAAAGAUGAUUCAAUCUGCGGUGGGCGGCUUAGAUAUUUUAUUCAGUACACGCAGCGUAUUAAACUUGGAUUUAUAAGUCUCAGAUCUAUGGAAUUCAGAGAAUACGUAACCGAUUAACAUAUUUUCAAAAGGGGUGGGAGAGUUGGAUUAAACCAACUCAUGAAUUUACACACAGAAAAAAAUCAUUUAUGAAUAAAAAUGAUGGAAAACUAAAAUAUUCAAACUUUGUACUUAAAAUAAUAAACAUUUCUCACAAGAAAGAGGUAAACUUAAAAGUGAUUUGAUUUUAAUGAGUUUUUAGAUGAUUUUAGAUGAAUAUUAUAAUUUGGUGUGAUUUUUGUUAAACAACUUUAGAAUCUCAUCUAAAACAAUGAGAUUUGGAUUUUAUUUUUAUAACUAAGAAAUCCCUCUAAAACACCCUAAAAAUAUUUAAAGCACUCUAACAUCUCAAACUUAAAUUUUGUUCAAUAACAGUGGAUUUUCAGAGUAUUUUAUAAAAUGACAAGUUUAAUAACACUGGAUUGGUUUUUAAAAUCCUCGUUUGAAUAACAGUGGAUUUGUCAUUUUAAUACAAAUCAUCUGAAACUCUUAGUUGAAUACACCCUCUCUAUUUUGAAAGAAUGUUAAAUUGAUUCAAACAAAAAAAUGGUUUUACAAUGGAUGUUGCAUUGUUUCUGAGUUUAUAAUUUACUCAUAGUGGUUACAUGUCGAACCUUGCUUGUUCUUAGUGUCGUUGUAGUGGCUGCUCUCUAGUCUGAAAAAUUAAAUCUUAUAAUGGAAAUGCUGCAAGUUUCUUUUCUAAAUGCUACUGUAUCAUGUGCUCAAGUAGUAUGUAUUCUGUUGUAUAUAUAUCCUAAUUAAGAUCUCAGAUUUCUGUAUUUUAGUGUUGUUAAUCUCUAAAAUGAAUGUAUAGUGCGUUAUUGUAUGCUCACAACAAAAAAAGUAUUGAUAGCACAUUAUGAUAGCUUUGAUUCUCAAUCUGAUAUGAAAGAUAAAUUUUUCGAUUUCAGUACAUAUAAAUAUUAGUUUCUUAAUUAGCGCUAUCAUGAAAAUUAAUAAGCGGAAUAGAAAAUCACGCGUACCGUUUAUACUUAGGUGAAAUUUCGACAACCACGAAUAAAUAAAUUGUUUUCCUCUCUAUGAUACUUAAGGUAAAAAAAUUGGGCCAACAUAGAAAGUGGAAAAGCAAAUAAAGUGACUGAGAAAACUCUCUCUCGAGCACAAAGCGCACCGGAACCCCAUCUCUGCCGACGAAACUCUAUAUUGACACCGUCAAGCUCAAUUUCAUGCUCUGUAACCGGUGAUAUUCUCUAGCUCGACUUGAUUUGAGGAGGGUUGAAGCUCGUAAUCGAAUCGAAUGAACAGAUUUACGAUAUGUUUUGUUCAAUCUUACAGAUUCCCCCGAUUUAGGGUUUGUUUCAGUUUAAAGUUCUUAACUUUGACAUGCAUCUGUUCUGUUCCAUUUCGUCUUUAAUUCAAACUGAUUUAGCUUUUGUUUGGUGACAAAUUAUUUCCAGCAAUCCUGCUUCACUCUUGUUCUAACCACACCACAGGUUAUUUCCAUCUUUAUUUUUUCUUAGUAGUAUGUUCAUCGGUUAAGUUAUUACAUGACUUUGGUGUUGAUUGAAUUAUGUUUGAUUCUCAUUAUUUAAGUAGUGAUUGUUGUUAAAAUUUUGUGAUUUUUUUUUGUCAUUAUAUGUUAUAUGCUCAACAUCGUCUGCUAUUUGGAAUGUGUUCUAUCUGUUAUCCUUUUGCUUGGUCUUACGGUUUUAAAUAAGGAUAGGUCAAACAAUGUUAGAGAAGGCGUGGGUUCAUCUUUCGAGGUAUGAAAUUAACAUAUAUAAGUUACAUUUCAGUUGGGGAUUGGAGUGCUUAAUGAUUUGUUUUGUUUUGUUAUAAACGCAGAGUUGAUCCUGCUUAUGAAAGAGGUGCUUGGGACUUUGUCGAAGCUGUGUCUGCGGGUAAAGGAGAUAUGGAGUUGAUCAUUGCCCUUGUACAGACUGUCACAAUGUAGAUCGCCAUUCAGCCACUAAUAUAGUUGAUCAUCUUGUUAGAAGGGAUUGGAUGAGGUUUACAAGAGGCAUAAUGACUAGUACUAUCAUGGAGAAGUGAACUCUGUGGCUGAAGGCGAAAUGAAAGUAAAUCAGUGGAAUGAAGAGAUUGUUGGGUUAUACAGAGCUGCUAAAAACUUAGAUGAAGAGUUGGAUACUGCACAUGACUUCUGUGAGAUGGAAGAGGGAGAGGACAAGAAAGAAGCUACAUGUGCGGCAUCAUCACCAGGUUCUAAAUCUCCAAUGCACCCACUUUCUCCAAAAGCUAUUCUGAAGAAUACUCAAGCCGCCUCUUCUGUUUGAAGAUCUCAGCGUCAUUGUCAAAAUGAUGCCAAAGAGAAUAAGAAGUGUAAGUUGAUGUCCAUUGCCGGGAAAAAACAGGUGGUUGCAGAAGGACGGUGGGCUUCAAAUAAUCCAGAACAAACAGUUCACUUUGUUCCCUUGGGACAUUAUGAAGUUAAAGUUUGGAUUGAUGUGGUGAAUAUGACUUUGGCAGGGGUUUGACGUCCAUCUUCUGAGAUCAAGUGUUUGGGAGACGCAAUUGGCUCUUGCAUUGCAUGGUCAAAGGACAACGUGAUCUUGUGUUAAGAUUACUAUCAGAUCUAAUGUACUACUCUUCUAUUUGGAUAUUGUUGAGUUGUAGUUUGGAUUUAGACUUGUGGUUUGGGUUAUGCUCUAGUUGACUAGUAUUGUUUCAGAUUCAGACUUUGUAUUCUAUUACUUUUUUUACUAUCAACGAAUGUGGCAAGUUAUGAGAUUUUAUAUACAAAUCAUCGAGGUAUAACAGAUAACAUAUGGCGUUACAAUAUAUUUUAUGACACAAGAAAGACUGCUACGAAAGUGCGUAUAAAUAGCAUGUAUAAAAUUUCUAUCAUAUAACUUACAACAAUAUAUGAAAAGUGUAAUAACGAAAGAUAUAACAACUACUAAAACAUGCUAUCAAAUACAAUAUAUAGCAUCUUCAAUGCACGCUAUUAUAAAGGUUGCCAAUUAAUAGCAAACCAUAUAAAAUGCUAUUAUAUUGUAAAACAACAAUAGCAUGUAAAAAAAUGUUAUAAUAUAGGGGAGAUCUAAGAUAUCCGGGGAACAUAUAGUGGUUUCAAUAACACUAACAAAAACAUAUAAUAGAUGUUUCCUUACGCUAAGAAUGGACAUUUGUUUUGUAGUGGCCUUUCCCUUGUUAUGAUUAUUAGGGUUUUGUUGACUUAAGCAUUGUAUUUCUUUGUUGGGUAGAACAUGCUGCAAACUGGAGUGAGUUACAUAAAAAUACACUUUUGUCUUUUUUACUACACAAAAAGACACAUUCUGCUUUCCACACACAAUUCGUGAAAUGGAAACACAUCGUAAAAAUGGCAUACCCUACGCCGAUCUGCGAACGCCUUCAUCAACUUGCACGAUGCUCUGAGGCCAUAGAGAUCUUGGAAGGAGUUACCGGCCACACGUUCAACCACCAAUGCCUGAAUUUCUUCAGGUAUUUCAAGAAUCGGGAAAUAUUCCAUUGAUGAAGAGAGGGGUGAUAGAGAGUAAUUGUGUAAAAUAGAGAUAGAGAGUAAUUGUGUAAAAUAGAGAGUUUAAAAUUGUACUGUUCGAGUACACACAUUAUUUAUAGGCAGAGAACGGUUAUAUUAUCGCGACGUUUUGUUUGUCUAUGCCCUUAUGCUGAGUUGAGCUGGUCCGUGUAGUUAGAAAAAUGAAAACUAAAGAUUAUUUUUAAUUAUUUUAGUUUUUACAAAAUCUCUUACACUAUCUCCUUCACUUUUGUUAUAACCACCGCCUCCACUAUUUCUUUCAACUCCGUUACUACCUUCGUAACCACCACCACCAUCGUAUCCAUAACCAUCACCAUCACCUUCACUACUGUAUCCACUGCCAUCUCUAUUACUACCACCGCCUCCACUAUUUCCUCCACCAUCGUAUCCACCACCGCCACCUCCAUAACCACCAUCGCCAUAACCAUCAUCACCUCCACUUUCACCACGGUAUCCACCUCCACUUCUUUAAUCACCACCACCGCCUUUCCGUAUUAAUCACCACCUUCACUAUAUCCUCCACCUCCAUAACAACUUCCGUAUCCACCACUGCUACCUCUAUAACCACCACCGCCACCUCUACCACGGUCGCCAUCUCCACCGCUUUAAUCACCACUUCUAUAACCACCAUCAUCUCCAUAACUACCACCGCCUCGACUACGGUAUCCACCGACACCUCUACCAUGGUCUCCACCUCCAUCGCUUCUACGAGUCUGAGCCUUGUUCGUAGCCACCACAGCCUUUUUCUUAGCCACCAUGCCAACUCCAUAACCACCACUGCCUUUCACCGCCAUCUCCACCUCCACCACUUCCACGGGAUUGAGCCACAGUUUCUCUCCUCCAUCUCCCUUACCAUUAUUCCCGUCAAUAUCCACGUUUCAAUCACAAAAAGGAAUAAAAGCAAGUGAGAUUUCCGGCGACGGUUCGUACGGUGGUCUCCCACCCUCCCUUUUCCUUCACUCUACAUGAUAGAACAGACAUCGCUCAGUCUAUCAGAGGCAUUUGGCUUCUCUCUCCGUGUGUCGGUGGAAACAUUGGUGCGGCGGUUCCUUAAUAGAGCUCUUGGACUCUGGUGACCCGUCGGUUACGGCGUCUGGCUUCACUGUUAGAGGACGAUGGUAACCCUGUCGGACUAUGCUAGUUGGUCAUCGGAUCUUGGGGUUCAUCCCGAUUGUUGUGAGCUUUUUUUUUGUUGACGGUGGACCUUUCUUAACGAUGGCGGUUCGCUGGGAUCUGUAACCUCCGGCACGAAAGACGCUCUUGACCGGCUUGAUUGAAAUGAAACGCGUAGAUCCGCGGACCCGUGGGACGGCGAGUUUCAACUGCGACUGCGGCGGCUAGGGGUUCUUGGGAGUCGGAUCCCCCGCCGCGGGAUAACUCCGACAGUGGCUAUACACUGAAGAUACACCGUCAGCGAACCUUUCUGCUGGUCUUGGACACCCGGCUACAGUGGUUGCGGAUAAUUGGAUUUGGAAUCUUGGUGUUCAAUCGGAGCGAGUAGUUAUGCCCCUUUGUCUUCUUUCCCUCCCCAAUUUUGUUCUCUAUUUGUUCUCAGUUGUUCAUUGUUGUUAGAUCUUGCUAAUCUUCUCCUUGUAACCUAGGAUAUAACGUUUCUCCGACUUACCGGAAACGUCUUUGUUCUGAUAUUUAUUUUUCAAAGGGAAGAUAUUAAUGAAAUAUUUUAUUUAGAAAAAAUAAAAUAAAAUAAAAAACAGUUAUGUCUUUA